rnacentral:lncRNA from 1 species
UUGAAUUCCACCUCUUAAACCACAGGGAACAGAAAAGAGGUAUAAUGACAAAAAAUAGUUUUUUCUGUUACACAGUGAGAAAACUUAAGAUCCUUCUUAAUUGAGGUGGAGCCUGAAGAACAUUGAUAAGGGCAAAAAGAACAUUUAGGUCAGUGUAGAGUUCUGCAGUUGUCCUCUGGCCUCUUCUUCAGAGUGAGAACCUUGAAAAAGGAGGGGCAAUGGAAAUCCUGUAUGGGUUUGGAGAUCUGAACUCUGAGGAGAGACAAUAUUGCAGCCCGCCUGAAUGCCAGCAGAGGAGAGGGGCAAUGUAGAGAAGAGAAGGCAACUGAGGAGUUAAGUACCUUUUCCAAGGUCACAGGAAAGUGGCGAAUGAGAGUCCUGUGAUUCCAGUCUAGGUCAUCUGAAUCUAGAUCCUGUGUUCUUGACCACUACAUGAAAUUACUGACUGGCAACCAGAUCAUAGAAUUCUCUUAUUCCUACUCCAAGGAGCCUUUUCCCAAGCCUAUUUCACACUGUAGGCAUGGAUCACCCACUUCAGAAACAGUUCUAACGACUAUAAGUCUCAAAGACAGAAGUUGCAAGCUACUGAUGUGCUGCAUAAAAAUACUCACAGGCUUGCCUGAGGAGCAGCUUUUUCUACUCCCUGAAAGAUGUGUAACUGUGGAAGAGAGAGAAGAAGGCUGAGAGAACAAGCAGAUGGGAGGAAGGAACUGAGAUACCUCAAUCCUUGGGGAAGAAAACAGAACCUUCCUUUGCAAGUACCAGGGAAGUGUAGACCGUGACACAAUGUGAAGAGUCUUCUUGUUGCUGGUCAGAGAGUUUUACCAACUACCGGCUUAGUGCCCCAAAUCAUCUGCCUCCAUCCGACUGGUUCCCACAGACAAUUCACUAACUGAUGGUUCUGGAAACGGGUAGGGAAAUUAGAUGUCCAGUGAGGAGAUGAUGGCUGGAGGAGAAUUUGGGUGGAGACAGCAACUAAUAUACCUCUUCUGUUACAGAGGCAUAGAAACAAAGGAGAGGAAAUACAGCAACAUGUCAACCAUGCUCAUAUUUAGGUGGUGAUUAUAGGUGACUUUUAUUUCCUUCUUAAAACUGAAUUGUAUUUUCAAAGUUUUCUAUGAUGUAUGACAUAUAUAAUCAGAAGAUGGUUGAAAUAAAGAACAUCUUCAUUGGAAUAUGUGCCUGAUAUAUGGCAACUCCAUUUUCAUGCUGGGUUUGGCCAAGAGAGCACCCACAGCUGUGCCAAGAGUUCUCUUUGAAAGUCCAUCUGGGUUCAGCCCAAUUAAUAAAUAAACUCAAAGGCCCAGGGUUCUUCAUUGUGAUGCACAGGCAUAAUGAUUUUAGCUUGAUCACCCAAGGGCAUAGUCCAGAAAGAGAACAGUCUGAAGACUACUAGCUUCAAGACAGGAUGAAAUUAAAAAUGUUUGUCUAUGUGGUACUCUGCACUGCUGGCAUAAAUUUUGGUCUACAAUCUCCUCUGAGUGACUUCCUCCAGAGAAGUUAUCUCAAUUGCACUUAUACUUAUUUGUAUGACUAAUGCCUGCCUACUUCAGUAAACUAUAAACUCCACGGGAAUAGAAUCUCCAAUAUUUUAUUUCUUACCAUUGAAAAUCCAAUCCAGAGGCUAUAUUUGUGUGUGUAUAUAUAUAUAUAUAUACACACACAUAUGUAUAUAUUUUUGCAUACACGCUG